rnacentral:rRNA from 1 species
UCGAGAAUCUUUCGCAAUGGGCGCAAGCCUGACGAAGCGACGCCGUGUGAGCGAAGAAGGCCUUCGGGUUGUAAAGCUCUUUCGCUAGGGAACAAGAGAGGCGGGAUAACACCCCGCCGAUUUGAUGGUACUUGGUAAAGAAGCACCGGCUAACUCCGUGCCAGCAGCUGCGGUAAUACGGAGGGUGCAAGCAUUGAUCGGAAUUACUGGGCGUAAAGGGCGCGUAGGCGGUCGAGAAAGUCAGAUGUGAAAUUCCGGGGCUCAACCCCGGAGCUGCAUUUGAAACUUUUUGACUAGAGGACAGUUAGGGAAAACAGAAUUCCACGUGUAGCGGUGAAAUGCGUAGAUAUGUGGAAGAAUACCGGUGGUGAAGACGGUUUUCUGGGCUGUGACUGACGCUGAGGCGCGAAAGCAUGGGGAGCAAACAGGAUUAGAUACCCCCGUAGUCC